rnacentral:rRNA from 1 species
UACGGGGGGAGCAAGCGUUGUUCGGAUUUACUGGGCGUAAAGGGCGCGUAGGCGGUCAGCACAAGUCAGUUGUGAAAUCUCCGGGCUUAACUCGGAAAGGUCAACUGAUACUGUGCGACUAGAGUGCGGAAGGGGCAACUGGAAUUCUCGGUGUAGCGGUGAAAUGCGUAGAUAUCGAGAGGAACACCUGCGGCGAAGGCGGGUUGCUGGGCCGACACCGACGCUGAUGCGCGAAAGCUAGGGUAGCAAAUGGG